AUUGGACACCUAAAACGCCACACACGCGUCGACACCGCCUUCGGGGUGCCCUGACCAGCCUUCCAUAAAUUGGGCUGACGGGGUCGAAGCCGGGGAUACGUGGAGGUCCCAAC
rnacentral:sRNA from 1 species